UACGGGAGGCAGCAGUGGGGAAUAUUGCACAAUGGGCGAAAGCCUGAUGCAGCUAUGCCGCGUGUAUGAAGAAGGCCUUAGGGUUGUAAAGUACUUUCAUCGGGGAGGAAAAAACAAAACUAAUAAUUUUAUUUCUUGACGUUACCCGAAAAAGAAGCACCGGCUAACUCCGUGCCAGCAGCCGCGGUAAUACGGAGGGUGCUAGCGUUAAUCAGAAUUACUGGGCGUAAAGAGCACGUAGGUGGUUUUUUUAAGUCAGAUGUGAAAUCCCUGGGCUUAACCUGGAACUGCAUUUUGAAACUGAAAUACUAGAGUAUCGUAGAGGGAGGUAGAAUUCUAGGUGUAGCGGUGAAAUGCGUAGAUAUCUGGAGGAAUACCUGUGGCGAAAGCGGCCUCCUAAACGAAUACUGACACUGAGGUGCGAAAGCGUGGGGAGCAAACAGGGAUUAGGAUACCCGU
rnacentral:rRNA from 1 species